UGUGCUCUUCGCCUCGGAUCAGCUGAAUGGUUGGGGCGUUCAGGAAGCUUGCUCUGUCCAGCUGGGAAUCGCUCCCCCUCUCCAGGAUUUAAGAAGAUAAGAAACACAUCUUUGGAUGAAAUCUAUAGAUGGAAGAAGGCCUAACUCAAAAAGAGAAAAUGGAUGUUGUCAUGCCACUGAAGCCAGCAGCAAUGCAAACUGAUCACCAAGAAUUUCACUAAUUGAACAGUCAAGAAGAAUAGCUUUGAACAGCAUUUCACUUUGAGCAAAGGCAAUCACUCUUCUUAUCUCUGUAGGAAUGUGUGCAUAUUUUCCUUUUCACAAUAAUCAAAUAGGUUCAGAAAAGUAAAGUGAUUAUCGCACAACAUCUCAGAAUCAGGUUUUGGUAAAUCCCAUUCCCCAGAUCUUCUUGAAUUUAAUUUUAUUUCUGAUAAAAGUCAUUUGUUAAGAAACAGAAAAGUAUUAAAAGGG